rnacentral:rRNA from 1 species
GACGAACGCUGGCGGCGUGCUUAACACAUGCAAGUCGAACGGAAAGGCCCUGCUUUUGUGGGGUGCUCGAGUGGCGAACGGGUGAGUAACACGUGAGUAACCUGCCCUUGACUUUGGGAUAACUUCAGGAAACUGGGGCUAAUACCGGAUAGGAGCUCCUGCUGCAUGGUGGGGGUUGGAAAGUUUCGGCGGUUGGGGAUGGACUCGCGGCUUAUCAGCUUGUUGGUGGGGUAGUGGCUUACCAAGGCUUUGACGCGUAGCCGGCCUGAGGGGGUGACCGGCCAAAUUGGGACUGGGAUACGGCCCAGACUCCUCCGGGAGGCAGCAGAGGGGAAUAUUGCACAAUGGGAGGAAGCCUGAUGCAGCAACGCCGCGUGCGGGAUGACGGCCUUCGGGUUGUAAUCCGCUUUCGCCUGUGACGAAGCGUGAGUGACGGUAAUGGGUAAAGAAGCACCGGCUAACUACGUG